ACCAGAUGCCCCAAGAUCUGGCAAACAAGACAAACAAAGCAUAACUAUGGACAACCAAACUGGAAAAAGAGGAGGGGAACCCUUUAUCAGGUCGGACAAACCACCAUCUCUUGCCCAAAGGGCAAGGAAGGCGACCAAAAAGAGAACUCGACUGACUUGAGACUGAAAAGGAAAGGAAACUAUAAUGAGAUUUUCUUUCUCAAGAAGGACUAGAGAGAGCGUCCAG
rnacentral:misc_RNA from 1 species